CAGACCUUCAGUUACUUCAGUUGCAGACCUAGGACACCAAGGGGCCAAAUCCAAUUCUUAUACCAGAUUCCCUUUUACCACCAGGCUACCUGUCAUGGCAAUGGUUUGGCAAGAUAUCUGUCUAUAUUAAAUGAAUGCUCUUUGGGGAAGUGUAUUUGAUUGCUAAAGUGGGAUGGUUGGGAGAAUUAUACCAACAUAGAAAGGAAAAUUUGUUUCUCUUAAAUGACAGACCUUGAGAGCUUCCCUAAACCCCAGUGUUAAAUGACACCUCAUUGGCUAUGGUAAUGGUGUCCACAAGCAACAUUCCCUACCAGGAGGCUGAUGCAGAUCCAGUGGCGAAACAUCUUGGAAGGUUAGACAAGAUAUCAAGGCAUGAAACUCCCAAGUAUUGCGUCAUUGACAACUGAAAUUGCCUAAGUGUGAGAUCAUACUUCUGCCCGAAAACUUGCAAGAAUAUCUUUGGCAUGGAUGUCAGUGGGAUGACCAGAUAAAAUGGAGCCAAUGAGAUCAGAAGAAAAUGAUCAAAAUUUGGCAAAAUGGGAAGCAAGACGCAAUUUGCAAACAGGGAAAUCAAACAGUGCCACAUCAAAAUAAGAGGGAAGGAAAUCCAGCAGCUAAGCAGGCCACACAGUUCCCAGAUAGAGGUAAACUUCUUUUCUGGCCGAAGCCCUGGUUACGGGAAACAGUGUCUUCUGAAACGACCAGGUGUGGGGAAAGCGUCAGCAUGACUAGACAUACCUGGCUCACCUGUUGAACAAGCCCCAGUGAACCAGAUUCAGGAAUAUCAGCAGGGAGAGGAGCUUCUGGGGAAAAUCCCAACAUGCAGGGCAUAAGCUGCUUUCUGUCUCCUACAGUUUUGUGCAAAGUACAAUGCGUGAAUAACAGAGAGUAGGAAGGACAAUGAAAACAGCACGAGAGAUGAAGCGACUGAAUGUCAUCGGAAUUGUGCCCAUUUCUCCAAGCUUUUGGGCUGAUGUGGUACUGUUUCUUAAUGCAUCAUUUAUUUGUCUAAUAUAUCAUUCAAAUAUUUAUCGAGGGCCAACUAUGUUCAAGGCUGCGGGGAUAUGACAAGCAAGGAUGUUGUUUUCAUGAAACUUACAUUCUAGGAUAGACAGAUAGACAAUGAUGAGAUAGACAAUGGCAGACAGACAAUGAUGAGAUAAACAUAUAUAUGAGUUGUUAAGUAGUGGUAAGACCUAUGAAGACAAAAGAAACUAGUUAAGAGGCAAAAAGUGCUACAGGGAUACAAGUUUUCAUAAGAAAGUCAGAUAAGUCCCCUCUGAACAAGCAACGUUUGGAUAGAGGCCUAAAAGAAGGGAGUGAGUGAGCCAGACAGCUAGGAGAAGACAUCCCAGAGAGAGGGAACUAUCAGUGUGAAAUCCCUAAGACUGGUAUGUGCUUGUGUCCCAGGAACAUUAAGGAGGCUGGAGUGGCUGCAAAGAGGCAGGAGGGGAGCAGUAGGAGACAAAGACAGAGAGGCUACAGUGGCAAUCAAAGCAUGUCAGACAGCGCUUAAACACUCAGGACAUUAUCAUUAUAAGAAUUUCUACCUUAUUCUCUGAAUAAGAUGAGAAGCCACUGGGGACUUUUAAGAAAAGAAAUCACUGGCUUCUGUGCAGAAAAGAAACAAGAGUGAAAACAGGAGGAAAAAAAAAAGUCACUAGGAGGCUAGUGCAAUAAUCCAAGUGAGAAAUGGACCAGAAUGGUAGCAGUGGAGAUGGUGAGGAGUGUUGGACAUUGGGUACACAACAAAGGCAGUAGUGAAGAAUGAUGUCAAGAUGUGUCGGCUUAUAUGACUGCAAGAAUGGAGUUAUUUACUGAGAUGGGGACAGGCAGGUUAGAAGAUAUUUCAUUUGUAUUAUGUUUUAGGUGUCCACUAGAUAUAAACUAGGUGUUACAUAUCAUCACCCCGACAUGCUGUGACUCCUUACUCUGUGCAAAUUUCUGUGCAAAAGCUUUCUGACUUCAUAGGAUGUCUGAAUUUGAUUAAUAUUCAUCUUUCACACUGGAGUGCAGUUGCAUGAGAGCAGUGGCUAUUUCGAUCUCUCUCUGUGUAUUCCUAGCACCAAGCACAGUGCCUGACGAAGUACACACUCAGUGACUAGUGAAUGGAUGACUGAAUGAAAGAGUGAAGAAGUGAGACUUCCCAACAACUCCAUACAGAACUGGACCAACUGCUUCCACAGCUCAUCUUGGUCAAGUCUGAUUCCCAUAGGUGGCAUGACCGAUGGAGAUGCCCCUGGCAUCAAUGCCUCCUCUUUCCCUUUGGUCCAGGUCACACCUUCAAUUCAAGGUUCCUAAAUGCUGAUAUUAUUUUACUGUUACAAAAUUUAGGAGAAUAUGAAAAAAAUACAUUUUCUUCAUAAUAUUAUAGAUUAAUUUCCUCAAUUUUAUGCCACUAUGGUGGCCUGAUCUUAAAUUUUCCAUACAGGUCUACUUGAAAAUUUACUCUAGGGUUCUUUUGUGAUCUCACUCAACCUGCCAGACCAUCCUAGCUCUACAGUUUGCACCCCCAACAUCAUACUCUGAAACCCUCUCAUCCUUGCGCUAGCUUUAUUUGUAGUCAGAGUAGUUUGUGGUCUAUAUUUCAGCGCAAGGAAAACUCUACUAUCCAUUUUCUAAGGCACAAGUUGAUCUUAUGCUUAAGAGUCCAGCACAAAGACGAAUUUCUCUGCAUUGACUUUCCCUUUUCAUGAGCUCUUCAAUAAAAUGGGUUAACAAAUGAAGCCGUUACUUUCAAUUAAUAUUUAUUCAAAACAGAAUGAUCUCUAUGUGACUAGCUGCAC
rnacentral:lncRNA from 1 species